AGUUAAUUAGCUUAUUAAGCAUUUAUUUUGAAAAUAAAAGAAAAGAGAAUGUCUCUAUUAACUU
rnacentral:tRNA from 1 species